rnacentral:rRNA from 1 species
GUUGACCUCGGAUCAGUAGGA